rnacentral:rRNA from 1 species
UCAGCCGCCGCGGUAAAACCAGCACCUCGAGUGGUCAGGAGGUUUAUUGGGCCUAAAGCGUCCGUAGCCGGCUGUUUAAGUUUUCGGUUAAACCUAUGCGCUUAACGUAUAGGCUGCCGAAAAUACUGGACAGCUAGGGAGUGGGAGAGGUACACGGUACUCAAUAGGAAGGGGUAAAAUCCUUUGAUCUGUUGAUGACCACCUGUGGCGAAGGCGGUGUACCAGAACACGUUCGACGGUGAGGGAUGAAAGCUGGGGGAGCAAACCGGAUUAGAUACCCGGGUAGUCCCAGCUGUAAACGAUGCAAACUCGGUGAUGCAUUGGCUUGUGCCAAUGCAGUGCCGCAGGGAAGCCGUUAAGUUUGCCGCUGGGAAGUACGUACGCAAGUAUGAAACUUAAAGGAAUUGGCGGGGGAGCACA